rnacentral:rRNA from 1 species
GAUGAACGCUGGCGGCGUGCCUAACACAUGCAAGUCGAACGGAUUCCAGCCUUUAAGACCUUCGGGUCAAAGAGGGGAAGACUGAGUGGCGGACGGGUGAGUAACACGUGGGCAAACUGGCCAAUAGAGGGGAAUAACAGAGAGAAAUUUCUGCUAAUACCGCACAAGCUAACACUGCCGCCUGACAGGGGGAGAAAAGUGGAUCGCUAUGGGAUGGGCCCGCGACGGACUGGCUAGUUGGCAGGGUAAGAGCCCACCACAGCGACGACCAGUAGGCGAUCAGAGAGGCAGAGCGGCCACACUUGGGCGGGGACGCGGCCCGAAAUCUUACGGGAGGCAGGAGAGGGGGAUAUUGCAAAAUGGGGGGAACCCAGAUGCAGCGACGCCGCUAGAGUGAAGAAGUAUUUCAGGAUGUAGAGCUCUAUCAGCAGGGAAGAUAAUGACAGUACCUGAAUAAGAAGCCCCGGCUAACUACGUG